rnacentral:rRNA from 1 species
CAGUCGCCGCGGUAAUACAGAGGAUGCAAGCGUUAUCCGGAAUGAUUGGGCGUAAAGCGUCUGUAGGUGGCUUUUCAAGUCCGCCGUCAAAUCCCAGGGCUCAACCCUGGACAGGCGGUGGAAACUACCAAGCUGGAGUACGGUAGGGGCAGAGGGAAUUUCCAGUGGAGCGGUGAAAUGCGAUGAGAUCGAAAAGAACACCAACAGCGAAAGCACUCUGCUGGGACGACACUGACACUAAGAGACGAAAGCUAGGGGAGCAAAUGGGAUUAGAUACCCCCGUAGUCCCUGUCUCUUAUAC